AAACAAAGGCAUAGUUAUUAAGUUGUCAGUCAGAGCGUUAAAUUGUAAAAAAGAAGCAAGAUAUACUUUUGUUUGGCUAACUGUUAGCUUGCUUUGCACUCAGAGAUUACUGCCAGGUAGUAGUCACGUUGUAGCGCUUUGCCAGGUGACACUACCGUUCUGUGUCAGUUGAGCAUUGCAUUAACUGUUACUUACUUGUUCGUGAUACAGACGAUUCGUUUGUCUCAUGGUAGUACAGUUGAAGCUCUGAUCUGGAACCACUUAUACCAGGACACACAGCAUGCAGGAAGACUCCAGCCGCAGCCCCAGCUACACAGUAGCAUGUGAGGACUACGUUCAUGUGGUGGAGUUCAGUCCUUUCAGCUCUGGAACUCCUGCCUCUCUCCUUGCCUAUGGUGGAAACCAGUAUGUUGUAGUGGGCACCUGCCUCUUCCAGGAGGAGGAUAUGGAGGUUGAGGGAGUUGAAUUCAACGUCCUUCGAGCCUUCCAUCAUGAAUUACGCGUCGAUGCUCUUGCCUGGAGCCCAGAGUCCCGGCUGGACAGAAUACCCACUAUCAGAUUUUGCACUGCUGCAGCUGACAGAAAGUUACGCCUGCUGACUUCUGAUCUUCAGGAUAGGCAUGAAGUCAAGGUGAUGGAGGGCCACACCAGCUACAUUAACCAUUUGGUGUUCGAGCCCACAGAGGGGAAACAAAUUGCUUCCGUCAGUGAUGACCACACUUGCAGGGUGUGGGACCUGGAUGGAAAUGAAAGCACCACUUUCAGACUUCGCUCUCCUGGCAUCAGUGUGUGCUGGCACCCAGAGGAAGUCUGUAAGUUAAUGGUGGCAGAGAAGAAGGGGACAAUUCGCUUCUAUGACCUGGUCACCCAGCAGGCCAUUCUGUCGCUGGACUGUGGCCAGUCGCCACUGAUGUCGGCUGACUGGUGCCUCACCAACACCAUCAAAGUUGGCGCUGUGGCAGGCAACGACUGGCUCAUCUGGGACAUAACUCGUUCCAGUUAUCCACAAGAAAAAAGACCAGCCCACAUUGACAAAGCUCGGUUAUUCAAGUGGUCUCGGGCCAAUGAAAACCUCUUUGCCACCACUGGAUGUCCAGGGAAGAUCAGCAGUCAGUUACUCAUCCACCAUCUUGGCCACCCGCAGCCAGUGAUGAUCGGAUCAGCACCGGUAGGAUCAGGCCUCAGCUGGCACCGGACACUUCCUCUUUGUGUGAUUGGUGGCGACAGGAAACUUUGCUUUUGGAUGACUGAGAUGUAGACAUCUGUGCAGCACUUUCCACGGUGGAUAAUAGGUCUUCUGUUUCUAUUCAAGUCAGCUACAGAUAAACGGGCUGGUCUGGUCUCUGCGAAGAGCUCAUUUUUCUUUUCUCUGAAGAGUGAGUUACAUCAGUUGUCUGUUAUGUCCUGCCAAGGGAGCUGUAGUUCAAAGGAAUGCGUCGAGGCCUCGGUGCCAAAUCUCCACUUCACCAGUCAACAUGAUCAUCAUGCUACAGGUGUUCUUUAUCUGUUUCUCCUUUUUCUCACUAUCCAUGACUGUCUCUGAAUCAUAUCAAGAACAUAUCUCUGUAUGGGCUGUUCCACCUGCUGUUGACAGUUUAUAAUUCACAGAAAGGUUGGAUUAGGAUGAGGAAAAUCCAGGCGGUCUGGCUGUGGUCCAGCUGUUGGGCAAACCCUGCAGGAGGUGCUGGGUUGUGUGGUCAUAGGAGAAGCUUUGGGAAGCAUGGGAGUCUGAGGCCAUUUCAGGUCAUCUACAGCUCCAUGGCAUGUGAACUGAGUGGUUAGUGAGGAUGCUGGGAGAGGAAGAGAUGCGCAUCACCUUACCUUGGUGAAUAAUUAGCGAUGCUCCAUGGACCGAACAUGGAAGACAAGGGGUCAUUUGGCAGAAACUUGUAAUGCCCUCUGGUAAAACAACGAUGCAUUGUGCUGUCACAGGAAAGCCAUUUGUGAGAAACCACCAUCUCCAUUUUCAGUCAUACGCCGGCUAAGCUGCAGAGGGCACUCAUUUAAUUAACUUGAUCAUGAAUCAUUCAAGGUGACAGCUGAUCACCUGUUUCCACAGAUGUACUUAAUCUUGAAGGGUGUAGCGUUGGAUGAAUGUGCAGUCACACCUGAGCGUCUAACAGAGCCGUUUAUUGUACUUUAUUAACAUAUAUGUCAGCUGAAACACUAGGUUGUAUUGUGCAACGAUGUCUCUGCGCGACAGAAUGGAGCGAGCACAGGCCGUGGAGACCUCCACUCUUUCAAACCAGUUCGUCAACCUUGUAUAUUUCUUGGACAGGACGUGUUAACCGCCAUCCGCAAAGCAUAACAUGCUACUGCUCUCCUGGUCCACUCUUUUGUUUGAACAAGUCCAAUGUGGUCUCUGCUCUCUGCGUUUGCUGUGCUUUAGGUGCAAGUGGUGCUUGAGCAGCUGCGUAUAACACGGGAGAUGUCAAUGUCAGAGCAAGAGGCUGCCAUUUUCAUCUGUGCACACUCUGAAUGUUCUCCAAAGAGUAUAAAAGCAGCCAUAGAGGGAGCUGGAAUCAGUAACUGAGCCAGUUUCCUCUGAAACAUGCGUCAUGAAUCUCAGUGGCUUCUCAAAUCCCAGUGACUCAAGGACACCAUCUGAUGGGCAGGGAGUGGAAUUGCACUGAGAUUUAAAUCCAUUUUGUCUGCAUGCUGAUUUCUACAACAUAUGAUCCAUCUUGGACAUCUUACAAACUCACCUCUUUCCUGGAAGCACGUCCUCAGAUGUCACUGCCCUGGGCCUCCGUGUACCUUUGAUGUAAUCUGAAUGAAGCUAUUGUGCUUCACAAACAGUUUGAUCUCUUGUGGCAGUGUGUGUGGACUAAUAACAAACUGUGAAAUGGAUGAAAGAGAGAUCAGACCGCCUUAAAAUCCUCACCAACUUUCUCCUAAUCUCCCCCUCAGAUAAUUCUUCUGCGGCCCUGCCAACUUUAAGCCCAGGCUCAACAAAAAGAGAGCAAAUAAAAAUAAUGAGGAGCAUGAUAUGAGGGGAAACAAAGAAAGAGAUUAGAGCUCUUUGAGGCUGGUGUUUGAUUUAAUCUCACGGCUGGUUUGUUUGCGAUGAUUUCCCAGAAUGAAGCGAUUAUGUCGAUCUUGAUGAGUGGAAGAGAGUCCGCUGAAAAGUGCUCCAUCACUACUUUUGGGUGGAGUUUGUUGAUCAUUUGAACAGUAGAUCCAUGCCGUCAAACACUUUGUGGCAGUUGUUUAUUAAAAGGUAAAUUAUUUAUUGAAGUGUUAUAAAUCAAUUGUAAACUAUUAAUAAAGAACUUUUGGGUUGCCAGGUGUUUAUCCUCCCACAGUGGGUGAGUGGGACACCUGUUCGACUUUUUACAACCCAUAAGCUCUUUUUAAAGGAAUAGUUCAUUUCAGGAAAUAGCCUUCAUUGCUUUCUUUCUAAUACUGAGAUGAGAGAUUUGGUCUAUUUCUCAUGACUGUGUGUUAAGAAUAGGAAUGGACAGUCAGAGCAUUUUAAGCCCAGCUUAGCAGCAAGGACCAGGCACACAGUGUCUUUCUGGUGGAGGAUCCACCAUGCAAAGGGGUUUUUCAUGCCCUGGCAAGCUGAAGGGUGUUCUUAUUAGCAGAGCUGGAGUCAAGAUGUGUUUAGCUUAGCUUACCAUAAAAAGUGGAAGCAAGGGGAAAACAGUGAGCCUGGCUUUGUGCUAAGUUGAAAAACUCACAUACCAACACCUCUUACUUGCUUACUCCUUUGUCCCCAGUGGGAGAUAAAGCUGCAAUAAGCUUCCUCCAUCAUUCCCUAUCCUUGGCAAAAUGUUGAUCCUCACCCCCAGUUAAGUUCAUCUUGGCUACCUCGUCAGUACCAGCUCUGCGCCAGGUCAUUUUGGUCUUCCAAGUUUUAUUUUGCCUGGAGGAGUCCAUCUCAGCACAACUUCUGGGAUGAGAACCGCGUCCAGUUGACGUGCAUUGCCCAGCCAUCAGUCGACUCUGCCUUACUUCACUGAUGAUAUUCUUGCUCUUGGUUUCUCUGUGUAAUUCCAGGGUCGUGAUCUUGUUAGGCCAGAAGAUGCUGCAUAGCUUUCUCAGACAGUCCUUUUCAUAUCGCUGUGGUCUCCUGCCAGUAUUCAGAACCAAACAGGAUGGACUUGAUGUUAUUCUUACAUAGAUGGGCUUUUGGUUUAGGUUGUAUAACUUGGACUUCCUGAUGUUGCAGAGCUGGUAAAACACAUCCUGGCCUUUCUCCAGUCUUGCCUUGAUGCAUAUUCUUCCUCUGUAGUUGUUUAACAUGAACACAAACAAAUCACACCUCACACAGUAUCUUUCUGAGUUCUUGGGCCUGAGGGUAAAGUGAACCUCAUGACCCUGUUUCCAGCCCUGAGGAGGCAACCAAGCCAGCGUAGGGAUGGGAUGGCCCUGACAUCAAUAAAGGAAACACUUAUGGUUGGAGUCAGGAUGAUACAGCGUUUGGGAUUUGUGGCGAGUACGCGAGGCACAAGAAGCUAGCUGGAUCCCUCUCUGGUCGUCCUGUUGCCGUGGCAACCCGCUUUUGUUUAGCGCUCAGCAGAUUUGGAUCCUGGCGGUGGUUUCAUGGGGAUUUGUGGAUUUGAGAGCACUGGAUGUACAACGAGAUACAAGGAAUUAUAAAGUGUUUGACUUUUGGUUGGAGAGAGUGUGUAUGUAUGUGUGUCCCUACACACUUGUCAAGCAGUAGAUCACUCUUUCCCUCCGGUUGCUUUAUCCCUCUCUCUCUCUCUCUCUCUCUCUCUCUCUCUCUCUCUCUCUCUCUCUCUCUCUCUCUCUCUCUCUCUCUCUCUCUCCACACACAAUUUUUUCUACUCCACAAACACAGGCUUUCCCAGGGAGGCCAGAGCAGGGCUUGAUUUACUGUACAGUGGAAUUAUGGGAAGGGAAAGCUUCCCAACACAAGGUGGACGACGGGAGGGUUUGCCAGCCACCGUGCUGAUGGUGUUGAUGCUUUAUGAGUCCUGCAGAUGGAGAUGAUUUGUCUUUUCAAGGGAAAGCUUUGACGUGUGUGGCUCUGAUAUGCAUUGUCGCCUGUGUGGAGAUCAAUAAGCUGGACGUCCAUCAAAAACCCUGAAGGCCAAAUUCUCCAGUUGCAUGGAGGAAGAGAAAUAAAGAGAGAAGAGCAUCUGUCAGCAGUGCAGCCCUGCGGACCAUACUGCGGUCGACUGUGAGGUCCUGGUGACCUGGCCUUACUGAUGUGCUGGGCCUCAGUGCUGGCUCUGGCCUUGACCAGCAGAGGGAACAUAAUACUUAAAUCAUUCAUAAUUAGCUCCUUCCCUUUGCUUAAUAACACAUGAAGAUAAAUGGGUUCCAAGAAUUUUCCAAAUGGAAAUAGUUGGUUUGGAAUUAAAAGCUAGAAAAUGGCCUACAAGCCUUGUAUUGUAGUGGUUCACUCUCACUCUCCUGUUCCUCCUGCAGGCAAACACAGGGCAACACUCCUGACUUUGGCAUGUUUCUCUGAAAUGUCUAAUGCUUAAGUUUUGAAGAGACUUAUUCCUGAAAAUAAACAUUUAUUUGUUUUUACAUAAUCUUCACAUUACAUCAUACAUUAUACACACAAAUAAAUGGCGCUCUGGAACCUCACCAAGCUGACUACACUGUGAUGUUCAUUUAUUUGUUGUUCAUAAUAGUUGCUCUGAUAUACAAACGUCCAAUCUUUUUCUUGCAAGUUUCUGUCUUAUCUCUACAGAAAGUCUGUUCCUGGCCUUAAGAUGAGCUGAGCUUCUCCAAGGCACUGUGCAGGGUCUUCAGGUCUUCUCUCAUCUGGCUCAGAGCGUUUUGGAUCUUGCUGGGUUGAUCCAGAACCUCCAUGCUGCAGCCCUUGUCACCUUUCAGGAAGGCGGAAACCUCUCUGAGCUGGGGGAUGCAGUCCUCUCCAUAGCCACACUCUUUCUCCAGCUGCUGCAGACCGUCCAGGAACUGACGACAGGCCAGACUCGGCGAACAUCAUCAGCCACUCUCUUCAGGGAGUUGAUGAAAACGUCCAGGUCAGAGCUGUGAACUUCACAUUUCAUGAAAAACUCCAGAUUUGGGGCUCACCUCGAAUACUUUCCCAGUUUUGAAGAAUCCUGCGUUUUUCUCAUUGCUGAGAGUGAACAGGACGUUCAGCGUGACCCUGCCGUCCUUCUCUUCAAACACAAAGCUGUCUCCGUACCUGGA